UAAAAGGGCCCUCAGUAGUCAGUAUUGGGGUUACCCGCUAACCCCAAACUACUAACCUGACGUAUGCUGGAUCACCUGAUUGGUGUGGGAAUUGCAUCCAAUGUGGUGCAUCCCCAUCACAGGGGGUUGGGUAUGGAGCAUCAAGACAUACCCAGGGUGUAAUUUUUGUACCCGCGGGACAGUUAUUGCGCAAAUGCAACGACGUCCCC
rfam:Lutzomyia longipalpis Contig6014, whole genome shotgun sequence.